GAUGAACGCUAGCGAUAGGCCUAACACAUGCAAGUCGAGGGGCAUCACAUGAAGUAGCAAUACGGAUGGUGGCGACCGGCGCACGGGUGAGUAACACGUAUGCAACCUGCCUUCAACAAGGGGAUAACCCGUUGAAAGACGGACUAAUACCCUAUAACACAGGGGUCCCGCAUGGGGAUAUUUGUUAAAGGACAACCGGUUGAAGAUGGGCAUGCGUUCCAUUAGCUAGUUGGCGGGGUAAGGGCCCACCAAGGCAACGAUGGAUAGGGGAACUGAGAGGUUUAUCCCCCACACUGGUACUGAGACACGGACCAGACUCCUACGGGAGGCAGCAGUGAGGAAUAUUGGUCAAUGGACGCAAGUCUGAACCAGCCACGUCGCGUGAAGGAAGACGGCCCUACGGGUUGUAAACUUCUUUUAACGGGAAUAAAGUGCCCCACGCGUGGGGUUUUGCAUGUACCGUAUGAAUAAGGAUCGGCUAACUCCGUG
rnacentral:rRNA from 1 species